rnacentral:rRNA from 1 species
CCUACGGGAGGCAGCAGUGGGGAAUAUUGCACAAUGGGGGGAACCCUGAUGCAGCGACGCCGCGUGGGUGAGGAAGUCCUUCGGUAUGUAAAGCCCUAUCAGCAGGGAAGAAAAUGACGGUACCUGACUAAGAAGCCCCGGCUAACUACGUGCCAGCAGCCGCGGUAAUACGGAGGGGGAAAGCGUUAUCCGGCUGUACUGGGUGUAAAGGGAGCGUAGACGGCGGGCGAAGUCUGGUGUGAAAGGCCGGGGCUCAACCCCGGGACUGCAUUGGAUACUGGCAUGCUGGAGUGCAGGAGGGGCAAGCGGAAUUCCUAGUGUAGCGGUGAAAUGCGUAGAUAUUAGGAGGAACACCGGUGGCGAAGGCGGCUUGCUGGACGGUAACUGACGUUGAGGCUCGAAAGCGUGGGGAGCAAACAGGAUUAGAUACCCCUGUAGUC